rnacentral:rRNA from 1 species
UACGGAGGGUGCAAACGUUGCUCGGAAUCAUUGGGCGUAAAGCGCACGUAGGCGGCCUAUCAAGUCGGGUGUGAAAGCCCCGGGCUCAACCCGGGAAGUGCAUUCGAAACUGACAGGCUUGAAUAUGGAAGAGGAUCGCGGAAUUCCCGGUGUAGAGGUGAAAUUCGUAGAUAUCGGGAGGAACACCAGUGGCGAAGGCGGCGAUCUGGGUCGAUACUGACGCUGAGGUGCGAAAGCGUGGGGAGCAAACAGG